UUUUCAACUUGACAACUCUAUGAAUGAAUUUAUUUCUUCUGAAAGUCAAAUCAAUGCUGCCACAGCCUUUGGACAGGGACCACAGGGUAUCUCAUCAACCUCAAACUGUCUUAAUAAGAAUAAGGGGAUAUCCUCCCUCUUCCUUCAUUAUCUUAUCGUCGCAUCGUUGCUACUAAUGUGAACAGCAUUCGUUUGAUUGAUCGGAUGGCGGAUGACUCAUUUCUACUUCGUCUUUCUUGAAAUCUUCUCCCCAGAUCUGUCCUCAUGUACAUUCAUGUGAGGGUGAAUGUAUUCACAAGGACGUUCUUCUUCUUCUGGACCUACCUUUACUCUGCGGAUGGAACACGAACACCUGACGAUGUCGAGCGACAAUUUCAAUUUUCAAGGUGCUGUCCCACGAUAAUAGAACAAGUGUAUCUCCCAAACAGCAGUCGGCGACCGACGGGUUUACCGGAAAUGACAGGAGUCGGAACAAAGUGCUAGAUAACAAGGAUCGAGUAAAGUCCACUGUCAUGACGAAUGCGCCCAUUAUGAUCUCAGUUGACCAUUAUACGGCGUCGAAUAUCUCGUUGAUUGUCAGACGGCGUCGAAUAUCUCGUUGAUUGUCAGACGGCGCUUGCCGAUUGCGCAAUGGUUUAUGGGAUGAUGAGUAGACUCGAAUUUACUCACGUCCAUCAAAAUUAAAGUCUAAGCCGGAACAGUGACCUGUAAAUGGACAACAGCUGGUCGGGAUCGGUGAUCCAUUCGUCCAAGAUUUCUUUAGUUGCAGGAUGGCAAAUUUUGGGCUUCGCGGGUGAUGUCGCACCAGUUCCAUUGGACGCCAGAAACCAAAGUAGUUGGGCAGUUCUGCAAAAGAACCCGACAGCUGAUUUUCUUUUGCCGGGAUCGUAGUGGUAACUGCUUCAGUGGUGGUCGGUUGCGGUGGCUCCGUCGUGGUGGUCACGACCGGAUGCAUUUCGUCAAGUUCUUCGAUUGGAUCUUCCCAAUAGUCAUCGUCCGGAUCUUCUCCACUGCCAGACAUGUUAACGAUUGAAACUUCUUGACUUGGGAUAUUUUUGUCGUUCGUCAUUAGUUCUUCAAGUUUUGCUUCAAAUGAAAGUAUAUUUAGAAGAUAUUUGAAAAGAUUUUUUGAAAUUUCUUCUGGAUCUUGUUCUUUCAUAUCUAGAGAGUCAUCUGGAAUGUCAUCAAGAUAGUCACGUACAGAUUCAUCUAGAAAUAAUUCACUGCUAUGCGGAACAGAAUCUAAAGAAUAACCAUAACUUUUCUCUCGGUUCUUCUCAAUGCUAGACUGAUGCUUAUUCUUUGGCGGAAUCUAAUAUAAGAAAUUAUUCAAACAUUA